rnacentral:lncRNA from 1 species
UCAAAGUUAUAAAAUGUUGACUGCAUUAAUAAUUAUGCGCCUUGUAUUUCUGACGGAGUGAGUAUUAAUGGAUGCUGGUAAAUAUUUGACAGUUGUGUUUUUAUGUAGGCCUGACUUUUCUUGUUGGCAUGUUCUCUCAUUGGAUACUGGAGAUCGAGGCGAUUGAGGCGGCAAUACUGUUGAAAUCUUUUCUUGGCCUUACAACCGCGGGUUUUAUUUGCUUGUUCAUAGCUUAUGAUUCUAUCCCUCGUGCGUACUUAUUUUCACUGUCUAUUCUGACUUGGUACAAGAUAAGUACUAACAACCUGCACACGUUUCUGACACAGUGCUGCGCAGCGGGUGACCUGUGAUGCUUCAGGAGCAAAGGAAUUUCGGGAGAAGAUUGACAGCAUUGGUGGUAUUUUGGAGAAGCAAAUUGUACAUUAGCAGGAUUCACAUUGCGCUACUAAAAGUGAACGUUCUUGUCGUUACAACUGUGGGUUUUACUUGCUUGUUCAUAGCUGUAUGAUUCUAGCCCUCGUCUAUCUUUAUUUUCACUUUCUGUUCUGACUUUGUACUACUCCCUCCGUUCCUAAAUACUUGUCUUUCUAGGCAUUUCAACAAGUGACUACAUACGGAGUAAAAUGAGUGGAUCUACACUUUAAAAUAUGUCUACAUACAUCCG